rnacentral:lncRNA from 1 species
GAGGAGAGGUCAGUGCAGCAGAGCCACCCAACUGCCACCACGACUCCUGCCCGGCCCUACCCCGAGCUGAUCUCCCGUCCCUCGCCCCCGACCAUGCGCUGGUUCCUGCCGGACUUGCCUCCUUCCCGCAGCGCCGUAGAGAUCGCUCCCACUCAGGUCACAGGUAAGGCCCGCCCAGCAAAGCCACCCCUGCCUAGGCCACGCCCCCACUUUAGUUUUCUCUCCUCCCUCCCGCCCCCAGGCAUUCCCUAGCGCUAAUAGGCUAGCGUGUAUCCAGGGCUGGGCACUGGGGAAGCCUGGUGAGCACCAGAGAUCCCACUGCCCUAAACGAUCCAGGUAGCAUGGUGGUUAGCCCAUUCUGAGGGAUUUCAUUCAUUCAACAAAUACUUAUUAGUGUUACAGGUCUUUUAGAAUUUGUCUAGCAGGUUUCCCAGUUUUUUUUUGUUUUUUGUUUUUUGUUUUUUUUGAGACGGAGUCUUGCUCUGUCGCCAGGCGGGAGUGCAGUGGCGCAAUCUCGGCUCACCGCAGCCUCCGCCUCCCGGGUUCAAGCGAUUCUCCUGCCUCAGCCUCCCGAGUAGCUGGGAUUACAGGCAUGCGCCACCACGUCCAGCUAAUUUUUUUUUUUUUAGUAGAGACGGGGUUUCACCAUGUUGGCCAGGGUGGUCUCGAUCUCUUGACCUCGUGAUGCGCCCGUGUCGGCCUUCCAAAGUGCUGGGAUUACAGGCAUGAACCACUGUUCCCAGCCCAUAACCAUCUUUCAAAAUCUGUUCAGAAAGCCUUCUAUCAUUGCCACCCUACUUAUUAUCACAACCCUCAGAACUCCUUCCUUCUACUCUGAUUUUUUUAUUUUUAUUUUUAUUUUUUAUUUUUUGAGAUUGAGACGGAGUCUCGCUCUGUCGCCCAGGCUGGAGUGCAGUGGCGCGAUCUCGGCUCACUGCAAGCUCCACCUCCCGGGUUCACGCCAUUCUCCUGCCUCAGCCUCCUGAGUAGCUGGGACUACAGGCGCCCACCACCACACCCGGCUAAUUUUUUUGUGUAUUUUUAGUAGACAUGGGGUUUCACCAUGUUAAUCAGGAUGGUCUUGAUCUCCUGACCUUGUGAUCCGCCCGACUUGGCCUCCCAAAGUGCUGGGAUUACAGGUGUGAGCCACCACGCCUGGCCCUGAUUUAGUUUUUCAUAGCAUUUAUAAGACAUAGGAGAUUCUGCUUAUUGAUCGGCUUGUUGCCUGUCUGCUCUGCGAGGACAGGAAAUUUUUGUCUGUUUUUGUUCAUGCAAUAUCCCUAGCACCUCAACAGUGCCUGGCACAUAGUAGGUGCUCAAGAAAUAUUUGGGUUCCUUUCUUUCUUUUUAUUUGUUUAGUUUGUUUUUUGAGACAGGGUCUCACCUUGUGACCUAGGCUGGAGUCAGUGGCAGGAUCAUGGCUCACUACAGCCUUGACCUCCUGGGCUCAAGUGAUCUUCCAGCCUUGGCCUCCCAAAGUGCCAGGAUUACAGGUGUGCGCCACCAUGCUCUUUUUUUUUUUUUUUUUUUUCCCGGCCUGGGGAGUUUUCCUGUGAAAACUGGGAAACUGUGGCAGGGUGCAGUGGCUCACGGCUGUAAUCUCAGCACUUUGGGAGGCUGAGGUGGGUGGAUCACGAGGUCAAGAGAUUGAGACCAUCCUGGCCAACAUAGUGAAACCCAGUCUCUACUAAAAAU